rnacentral:rRNA from 1 species
UGCAGUCGAACGGCAGCAUGAUCUAGCUUGCUAGAUUGAUGGCGAGUGGCGAACGGGUGAGUAAUACAUCGGAACGUGCCCUGUAGUGGGGGAUAACUAGUCGAAAGAUUAGCUAAUACCGCAUACGACCUGAGGGUGAAAGUGGGGGACCGCAAGGCCUCAUGCUAUAGGAGCGGCCGAUGUCUGAUUAGCUAGUUGGUGAGGUAAAGGCUCACCAAGGCGACGAUCAGUAGCUGGUCUGAGAGGACGAUCAGCCACACUGGGACUGAGACACGGCCCAGACUCCUACGGGAGGCAGCAGUGGGGAAUUUUGGACAAUGGGGGCAACCCUGAUCCAGCAAUGCCGCGUGUGUGAAGAAGGCCUUCGGGUUGUAAAGCACUUUUGUCCGGAAAGAAAUCGCACUUACUAAUAUUAGGUGUGGAUGACGGUACCGGAAGAAUAAGGACCGGCUAACUACGUGCCAGCAGCCGCGGUAAUACGUAGGGUCCAAGCGUUAAUCGGAAUUACUGGGCGUAAAGCGUGCGCAGGCGGUUGUGCAAGACCGAUGUGAAAUCCCCGGGCUUAACCUGGGAAUUGCAUUGGUGACUGCACGGCUAGAGUGUGUCAGAGGGGGGUAGAAUUCCACGUGUAGCAGUGAAAUGCGUAGAGAUGUGG